ensembl:lncRNA
CUGCCACAUUAUAGUAUUUGUGUAAAACCAGAAUGUCUGCAAAAUCAUCAUAUAUCUGUGAUGUUAUAGUAUUACUACUAAUGCAUAGUAUUUCUGCAAAAUCAUAGUAUUUUUGCAGAAACCUUGUACUUCUGGUAAAUCAUAGUAUUUCUACUAAAUAAUAGUAUUCUGCCAAAUCAUAGUAUUUGUGCCAAAACAUUGUAUUUGUACAAAGUCAUAAUAUUUCUUCUAAAUCAUAGUAUUUCAAACAAAUCUCAGGAGUUGUGCUAAAACGCAGUAUUAUUGCCAAAUCAUAGUAUUUGUACUCAAACAUAUCAGUUCAACUUAUUUAACUCUUCUCAACAGCCUAACACCUCUUCUUCACCCCGUUUCAGCAGAAUUGUGAGUGUUUUCACCCCUUUUCAGCACAAAUCCCAUCUUUUUCAGUUUUUUCUGCUGUUUUCAGAACAAAAACCCUCUUUUCAGCAGAAAUUCUGCUCAUUCUUCACCCCUUUUCAGCAGAAUUGUGAGUUUUUUCACCCCUUUUCAGCACAAAUCCCAUCUUUUUCAGGUGAUUUCAGCAGAAACCUCUUUUCAGCAGAAAUUCUGCUGAUUCACCUCUUUUCUGCAAAAUUUUCAGCCUUUUCUCCUCUUAUCAGCACAAUUCUCAGCAGCUUCUGCUCAUUUUAGCAGAAUUGUCCAUCUCUCCACCUCUUCUUUUUGAGAGUGACUUUGGCUCAGUGAGAUGGCUAGCUUCCUUGAGACUGGGAGGGCCAGGUUCGACUCCUGCUCAUGGUAGCAUUUUCUUUUUCACCACCGUACAACUUUUUGCAACUUUUCAUCUUUUUCAGCUUUUCAGCAGACAGCGUCAGCGUUAAGGCAUCCACACAGCAUUUUCGCCUGCUAUGACUUUUGGUGCUCAUAACUUCUAUACUUUUUGAGAUAUUGAAUUUUUUUAAAAAUAUUUUUUGCCCAUUUCUGCCAUAUCAUCAGUGGCGUCACUGAUUUUCCUUGCCGGGAUGACCUGUGUUUUAGCUCAGUGAGAUGAGCAUCCGUUCUCAGACUGGGAGGCCUGGGUUCAAAUCCCUCUUAUGGCAACAUUUCUUUCAGUUAACAGUUAAACUUUUUUAACUCAAUUUCAGCUUUUUCACCCCUUUUCAGCAAAAUUUUCAGUUUUUUCACCACUUUUCAGCACAAAUCCCAGCUUUUUCAGCUAUUUUCAGCAAAAACAUCUUUUCAGCAGAAUUCUGAAAAGAGUUCUGCAGAACUCUUUUCAGCAGAAAUUCUGCUGAUUGAACUCUUUUCAGCAGAAUUUUCACCUCUUUUCAGCCCAAAUUCUGCUUAUUCACCUCUUCUACAAAAUUUUCAGCCUUUUCACCUCUUAUUAGCACAAGUCUCAGCUGUUUUCAGGAAAAACUCUUUUGAGCAGAAAUUCUGCUGAUUCAUCUCUUUUCAGCGCAACUUUCUGCUUCUUUGCCUCUUUUCAGCAGAAAUUCUGCUGAUUCACCUCUUUUCUGCAAAAUUUUCAGCUUUUUCUCCUCUUAUCAGCACAAUUCUCAGCAGCUUCUGCUCAUUUAGCAAAAUUGUCAGUUUCUCCAUCUCUUGUUUUUGAGAGAAAGAGCAAUGAAUUACGUUUGUUUGAGGGGUGGAAAUCUGUCCUCCUC